rnacentral:lncRNA from 1 species
CCGCACCCGGCCUCAUCUACUUCUUUUAGAUAACAUUAUUCAGUUCUGUCCAUUGAAUGUUAACGUCAGUCCCCUGUCUGUGUACCAGGCCCUGUAGGAUGCAGAGAUGAUCUGGACCACAGUCUCUCACCAAUAAUUAUACAAGGCAAGAUGAGAGAAGUGCAGGACAGAACAAGGGACAAAGAGCUAUGGGGCUAUAGGGAAGGGAGAUUUUAAUUAUGGGGCGGGGCAGAUCAUAGUGGGUUCUUAGUAGAGGUGAUAUCUGGUCUGGGCUUUGAAGAGUGAGUAGCAUUAUGAUAUAGUAGAAGUAGACGAGAGAAUUCCAUGCGGAGAGAGAGAGAGCAACAUCGUGAAAGGCAUAGAAGCAGGAACAUGUGGUAAACCACUUGGGCCAUAGUGAGUUGUCAAGUGGAGUGGAGUAGCUGAGAAUCUCUGAAUGCAUGGAAUGGUGGGUAAGGGUAGAAAGGUAGGCUGUACCACAUCAGGAAGAGUUUUCAAUAUCAAACUCAGGAGAAUUUUUUAUCUUGUAGGCAAUAGGGAGCCAUUGAAGGUCUUUGAGCAAGGAAAUUAAUUACCUUAUGUUUUCUACAUUUUAUAAAGAUUAUUUGGGAAGCAGUGUGGAAGUUGUAUUUCUUGGGGAGAGACAGAAAGUAGGCAGAGCAGUUAAAGGAAUGUUAAGGAACCAGAAAAUGGUGCAGAGAACAGUAGUUAAUGCACAGAAGGCACUCAGUACUUUUGUUGAAUGAAUAAAUAACGUUGAAGUAGUGAAAGGGUGUUAAGUCAUUUUAGAGGACAGACUCUGCCUGACUCUCAAGUCUUUGCCUUUGGGCUACUUAGUGAGUGGUGACCAACCACUUCCCAGUGAAAGGUGAUACUGCAGGAAGGAGAAGGUGGUUGACUUGGCAUUAGCUACCUGUAUAAACAGCUGUGAGGGUCAGGGCACAAGUCUGGACUGGAGGUGUAGAUUUGGGAGUUAUUAGAACUCAGUAAAGAUCUAAAGCAAAAACUUCUGUCAUCCAUGACCCCUUAGUUCAUUCCUACUUUACCCAGCCCGUCGGCAAAGUAUAUGCAGAAUCUGGCCACUACUCACCCCCUCCACUGUUACCAUCCUGGACCAAGACUCCUUCAUCUCUUGCCUGGAUUAUUGUGGGAGUCUCUUAUCCAUCUUCCCUGCUUCCAUCUCACCCCAGCAGCCAGUGAUCCUGUUAAAAAUGGGUGUGAUUAUGUCUUUCCUCUCUUCACAUCCCCCCUGGAAUCCUGAUUUUCCUAACAGGAAAUGCCAAAAUUCUUACAGUAGCCCGUAAGGCCUUAUAUGACUUGGUCCCCUUAAACUCCUAACCUCCUGUUAUGCUGUCCUCUCUCUCCUGCUGCAGCCAGGCUGCCUCUUUGCUGUUCUUUGAAGCCUCUAGGCACACUUGUGCCUUCCUUCAGGACUUUAUUUAAAUGUCACAUGCUCAGUGAGGCCUCCCCUGGGCACAGUGUCUAGAACUGCGGUCCCUGCUCAACACUUGCCAUCCCUCUUCCUCAUUUUAUUUUCCCGAUAACUCUCUUCCUCAUUUCACCUACUGUAUAUUUUACAUAUAUUUCUUGUUUAUUCUUUGUCUUGCCCCACAGCGGGAAAGAGAUCUUUGCCCUUUUGUUCACUGCAUACCUCCAGUGUCCAGAACAGUGCCUGUAGUCAUAGUAGGCACAUGAUAACUAUUUAUUGAAUGCAUGAGUGGAUGGAAGCAAUUGAUAUCGUGGAGGGUGGAAGAGCAGAAGGUAACAGCUGGACAUCUCCGUCCACUUCAGCUUGCUAGCCUUGGCCUGGAGGUCUGCAGGUUCACUCCUGUAAACCAGUGAGACCACAAACCCACCAGGAGGAACGAAGAACUCCAGACGAGCCGCUAAGACCUGUAACACUCACCGCGAAGGUCUGCAGCUUCACUCCUGAGCCAGCGAGACCACGAACCCACCAGAAGGAAGAAACUCUGGACACACCACCUUUAAGAACUGUAACACUCACCGCGAGGGUCCGCGGCUUCAUUUUUGAAGUCAGUGAGACUAAGAACCCACCAGAAGGAAGAAACUCCCAACACAUCCGAACAUCAGAAGGAACAAACUCUGAACACACCGUCUUUAAGAACCGUAACAUUCACCGCGAGAGUCCGCGGCUUCAUUCUUGAAGUCAGUGAGACCAAGAACCCACCAAUUUCAGGACACAGUAAGAGCACCUAAGAUCUAUUCUCUUGGCAAAUACCCAGUAUCCAACGCAAUAUUAUUAACGAGUCCUCAUGCUGUACAUUACAGCUCUAGACUUAUUUUUUCUACGUAUCUGUACGCGUUGACCUAUAUCUCCCCAUUCUCCCCCAUCUUGUCCUCUCCCCUCUUCUGGUAACCACCAUUCCCCUCUGUUUCUAUGUAUUCAACUUUCUAAAAACAGAUUCUACAUACAAGCGAGGUCAAACAGUAUUUGUCUUUCUGUAUCUGACUUAUUUAGUGGAACAUCUUCCAGAUUAAUCCAUGUCAUUACAAAUGGCAGUAUCUCCUUUUCUAAAGCUGGAUAGUGUCCCAUUGUGUGUACAUCAUUUUUUUAAAAUUUAUUUAUUUUUGAGGCAGGGUCUCGCUCUGUCACCCAGGCUGG